rnacentral:rRNA from 1 species
CACGCCGUAAACGAUGGGUGCUAGGUGUAGGAGGUAUCGACCCCUUCUGUGCCGUAGUUAACACAAUAAGCACCCCGCCUGGGGAGUACGGCCGCAAGGUUAAAACUCAAAGGAAUUGACGGGGGCCCGCACAAGCGGUGGAGCAUGUGGUUUAAUUCGACGCAACGCGAAGAACCUUACCAGGGUUUGACAUCCUCUGACAGCGUAUGAAAGUGCGUUUUCUGGUUUAGGCCAGACAGAGAGACAGGUGG